UAGGAAAUCUUCCACAAUGGACGCAAGUCUGAUGGAGCAACGCCGCGUGAGUGAAGAAGGUUUUCGGAUCGUAAAGCUCUGUUGUUGGUGAAGAAGGAUAGAGGCAGUAACUGGUCUUUAUUUGACGGUAAUCAACCAGAAAGUCACGGCUAACUACGUGCCAGCAGCCGCGGUAAUACGUAGGUGGCAAGCGUUGUCCGGAUUUAUUGGGCGUAAAGCGAGCGCAGGCGGAAUGAUAAGUCUGAUGUGAAAGCCCACGGCUCAACCGUGGAACCGCAUCGGAAACUGUCAGUCUUGAGUGCAGAAGAGGAGAGUGGAAGUCCAUGUGUAGCGGUGGAAUGCGUAGAUAUAUGGAAGAACACCAGUGGCGAAGGCGGCUCUCUGGUCUGCAACUGACGCUGAGGCUCGAAAGCAUGGGUAGCGAACAGG
rnacentral:rRNA from 1 species